GACGAACGCUGGCGGCGUGCCUAAUACAUGCAAGUCGAACGCAGUGGGGACGGGUGAGUAACACGUGGGUAACCUCCCAUCAGUGGGGAUAACACUUGGAAACAGGUGCUAAACCGAUACUGAUGGAUGGACCCGCGGUGCAUUAGCUAGUUGGUGAGGUAACGGCUCACCAAGGCCACGAUGCAUAGCCGGCCUGAGAGAGUGGUCGGCCACACUGGGAUCGAGACACGGGCCAGACUCCAGCGGUAGGCAGGAGUAGGGAAUGUGCGGCAAGGGGCGAAAGUCGGAGCGCACCACGCGGCGUAUGUGAAGAAGGUUUUCGGAUCGUAAAACUCUGUUGUUAGCGAGGCGGUAUCUAACCAACAAGCCACGGCUAGCUACGUGCCAGCAGCCGCGGUAAUAC
rnacentral:rRNA from 1 species